CUGCAGCCAACUAAGCCAACCGUGCUCUGUCCCUACGGGGGCCUGGUGUGCAGUGGCUGCAGACAGCAGCCUCCUAGUAGUAUAUGCAGCCUGUUGCUUCUGUGGGUUGCCGUAGAGGACCCCGGAGACAGCC